rnacentral:rRNA from 1 species
UACGUAGGGGCCGAGCGUUGUCCGGAGUUAUUGGGCGUAAAGGGCGCGCAGGCGGCUCGGCACGUCCGUUGUGAAAUCGCCCGGCUCAACUGGGCGGGGUCAGCGGAUACGGUCGAGCUUGAGCAAGCUAGGGGGCAAUGGAAUUCCCGGUGUAGUGGUGGAAUGCGUAGAUAUCGGGAGGAACACCAGUGGCGAAGGCGGUUGCCUGGAGCUUUGCUGACGCUGAGGCGCGAAAGCGUGGGGAGCGAUCCGG